rnacentral:rRNA from 1 species
UACGAAGGGGGCUAGCGUUGUUCGGAAUUACUGGGCGUAAAGCGCACGUAGGCGGAUAUUUAAGUCAGGGGUGAAAUCCCAGAGCUCAACUCUGGAACUGCCUUUGAUACUGGGUAUCUUGAGUAUGGAAGAGGUAAGUGGAAUUGCGAGUGUAGAGGUGAAAUUCGUAGAUAUUCGCAGGAACACCAGUGGCGAAGGCGGCUUACUGGUCCUAACUGACGCUGAGGUGCGAAAGCGUGGGGAGCAAACAGG